rnacentral:rRNA from 1 species
GAUGAACGCUGGCGGCGUGCUUAACACAUGCAAGUCGAACGGGAUCCCAGGAGCUUGCUCCUGGGUGAGAGUGGCGAACGGGUGAGUAAUGCGUGACCGACCUGCCCCAUACACCGGAAUAGCUCCUGGAAACGGGUGGUAAUGCCGGAUGCUCCAGUUGACCGCAUGGUCCUCUGGGAAAGAUUCAUCGGUAUGGGAUGGGGUCGCGUCCUAUCAGCUUGAUGGCGGGGUAACGGCCCACCAUGGCUUCGACGGGUAGCCGGCCUGAGAGGGCGACCGGCCACAUUGGGACUGAGAUACGGCCCAGACUCCUAUGGGAGGCAGCAGUGGGGAAUAUUGCACAAUGGGCGCAAGCCUGAUGCAGCGACGCCGCGUGCGGGAUGACGGCCUUCGGGUUGUAAACCGCUUUUGACUGGGAGCAAGCCCUUCGGGGUGAGUGUACCUUUCGAAUAA